AUUCAUUUUUCUCCCUCGCCCUCCAUCCAAGGCCCUUUGGAGGUCCUUUCUCUUCCAUUUUCCUUCCAGAUUGCAAAAUUCUGUUCAAUUAUCCCUCAUUUUAUACAAAAACAAAAAAUAUUUUAUUUUCCAUUUGUUUUACUUAAUUACUUUUCUGUUUGUUUCUCAGCAGAGAUACUGCUUCUUCUCUGCUUGUUUACAGAAUCAUCCAGUUUGAGAUGAUGUCGACUAAUUCUUCCACCUCCCAGAAGGACAAGAAAAGAAAUUUUCCUCCUAAGAGAGGCCAGAUCAAAGCUCAGAUUUUUCAAAGCUUGACCAAAACUGUAAGCUCUUGGGUCACCAAGGCAGGGGAAGCUCUGAAAAGAGACAGAGGACAUGGUGGAGAUGGAGGAAUUUCUUCUUCUACUGCUGCAACCUCACCUUUCAGCACCUACAACUCGGAUGGAUAAAUUCCUUGUUCCAUCACUUUUCAAGUCUAUCUCUAAAGCUGUGAUUUCAUUGUUUUUAACUUGGAUCGCAGCACCUACGUCUAUUAUCACGUGAUUAGAAAGUCCCUGCAUUAACUGAUAGUAAUUUGACCCAGUUUUUGGCAGGGCUAUAAGCCAACUGUGUCUGUUCUAUAGGUCAGGUCAAUAGAUAUGUUGCUCCGGCGUAACUCAUAUUUGUGGAAGUUACAGCAGGAGUAUAACCCUUUUAUUUAUGUUUGUUUUCUAGGCCAUUGUCUUGUAUAUAUGGCUUCUCCAUAUAUUCUCAGUUCUUCUUUUGCUGGGGCAGCUUCAAAAAAAAUAGACACUCUUCUACUAUUGUCAUUUUCCACAGUUUUUGGAGAGGAGAUGACAUACUCGGAAGAGGAUAGUCGUAAUCUUGGCUUGGGGCGUCUUUGGCUUGUAUUUCCGUUGGUGUGUCGUGUGUAGUUGUUAUGCUAUGUGAAAUAUAGUUUAUUUCGAUGCU